ensembl:lncRNA
UCCGUGUGUCUGUGUCUCACCUGUCUGUCUGUCUGUGUCUGUGUGUCCGUGUGUCUGUGUAUCUCACCUGUCCGUGUGUCCGUGUGUCCCUGUGCCCGUGUGUCCGUGUGUCUGUGUCUCACCUGUCUGUGUGUGUGUGUGUGUGUGUCUGUGUGUCCGUGUGUCUGUGUAUCUCACCUGUGUGUCUGUGUGUCCAUGUCUGUGUGUCCAUGUCUCACCUGUGUCUCACCUGUCCCCAGGUCCAAGUCCAGGACGGUCCUGAUGAGAACGGGGAGCUGUUCCUGCAGCUCUGUGUGUCCGUCUGUGUCUCACCUGUCCGUGUGUCUGUCCAUAUCUCACCUGUCCAUGUCUCACCUGUCCAUAUCUCACCUGUCCGUGUGUCUGUCCAUGUCUCACCUGUCCAUGUCUCACCUGUCCAUGUCUCACCUGUCCGUGUGUCUGUCCAUAUCUCACCUGUCCGUGUGUCUGUCUAUGUCUCACCUGUGUCUCACCUGUCCAGGUGGAGGUGCAGGAUGGCCCAGAUGAGAACGGGGAGCUGUUCCUGUGUGCGUGUGUGUGUGUCCAUGUCUGUGUGUCCAUGUCUCACCUGUC